rnacentral:misc_RNA from 1 species
CCUCCGUGGACUUGCAAGCAAAACCAGAAAUAAUCAAGCAAACAGCCGCAAUCAAUAGUCAUACAUCUUGGAUCAUCCUUUGAAAGCCUGAAGAAAGAGACAAAAUGAGAGAGAGAGAGCUAGCUAAAGAAAAUCCAAGAAAGAAGACGAAGUAUGCUUGUUGAGGUUCCUCUCCAAUGCUUUGAAGAACAAAUUUCAGCUAUGGGUGAAAAGUGAAAACUAAUAGCAGAAGAUGAACAGAGAGUUAAGAAAGAGAGAGUU